ACGGAUAUCUCGGCUCUCGCAUCGAUGAAGAACGUAGCGAAAUGCGAUACCUGGUGUGAAUUGCAGAAUCCCGCGAACCAUCGAGUCUUUGAACGCAAGUUGCGCCCGAGGCCAUCCGGCCGAGGGCACGCCUGCCUGGGCGUCACGCUAAACACGCUCCCACCCCCCCUCAUCGGGGGAGCGGGAUGCGGCAUGUGGCCUCCCGUCUCGCAAGGGGCGGUGGGCCGAAGAUAUGGCUGCCGGCGUAUCGUGCCGGACACAGCGCUAGGUGGGCGUUCUCGCUAAGCUUAUCGCAGUGUAUCCGGUGCGUAGCCGGCACGAUGGCCUCUAAAGACCCUUUGAACGGUGCGCAUGACGCUCCGACCGCGACCCCAGGUCAGGCGGGACUACCCGCUGAAUUUAAGCAUAUAAAUAAGCGGAGGAGAAGAAACUUACAAGGAUUCCCCUAGUAACGGCGAGCGAAC
rnacentral:rRNA from 3 species